UACGUAGGGGGGCAAGCGUUGUCCGGAUUUAUUGGGCGUAAAGAGCGUGUAGGCGGCCAAGCAGGUCCGCUGUGAAAACUCGAGGCUCAACCUCGAGACGUCGGUGGAAACCGUUUGGCUAGAGUCCGGAAGAGGAGAGUGGAAUUCCCGGUGUAGCGGUGAAAUGCGCAGAUAUCGGGAAGAACACCCGUGGCGAAGGCGGCUCUCUGGGACGGUACUGACGCUGAGACGCGAAAGCGUGGGGAGCGAACAGG
rnacentral:rRNA from 1 species